GACCUGACUGUCUUGAAAGUACGCAUCUCUUGAAAAUGUGACGGUUUUUCCCUGUUUAACUCUUAUUAGUUAGUCCCUUAAGUAUACCUGAAAUGGUAUCAACCUAAAACAUCCGUAGAUUGUUCAUUUACCUCUAUUGCUAACAGUCGGGUUUAGGAAUAGUUAGUCCCUUAUGUAUACCCACGAUGGUAUCAACCUAAAACAUCCGUAGAUUGUUCAUUUACCUCUGUAGCUAACAGUGGUUGUCGGAAUGGUUAGUCCCUCAAAGUAUCAUGUGGUACUAGGAGAUAAAGUCCCAAUCUAUCUCGUCGAUGAUGUGAUUGAAUCACAAGGUAAAGAUAGAAAGGCGAACGAUAUAACCGUAUCUAGACAUAUAACAUGUAAUAGUAAUUUGCCAUAUAAUGUCUAUGUAAAAGUAUUCAUGUAUAAGUAUNAGAAAGGCAAACGAUAUAAUCGUAUCUAGACAUAUAACAUGUAAUAGUAAUUUUCC
rnacentral:lncRNA from 1 species